GUCUCAGGCCGUAUCAGCCUGAAGGCGCCCGAUCUCGUCUGAUCUCGGAAGCUAAGCGGGGUCGGGCCUGGUUAGGAUCUUGGAUGGGAGACCACCUGGGAAUCCCGGGUGCUCGAGGCU
rnacentral:rRNA from 1 species